CUCCACCAGCAAAGAGAGUGUCAGGGAGAGGAGCAGGUUACCCCCUCUCCCCAGCGGCAGUCUACAGUUCAGAGAGAGGAGCUUGUUACACCCUCUCUCCAGCUGCAGCCUAACCCACCAAGGGGAGAUGUUAAGCCCCACAACUAUGCAGAUGGGACCGUAGUCUCUGCACUUGCAGCACCAGGGGUAGGGACGGUCGGUCCUGUCCCCCAGCCACAGAGCAGUGUAUCCAGAGGGGAGACAGUCGGUCUCCCCCUCCCACAACCAGGCUACUUCAGUGGUAGCGCUGGCACCCGGGCAGAGUACCGCUGGUCUCUGCCCACUCAGCAACCCACCAAGGCAGUCUACCAGCCCCCCGCACAGCCGUGGUGAGGCACCUGGAC
rnacentral:lncRNA from 1 species